rnacentral:tRNA from 1 species
CGUGAUAUCGUAUAAUGGUAAUACAAUGUUCUGCAAAAACAUUAAUAUCAGUUCAAUUCUGGUUAUCACGU